GGGGGGGGGGGGGGGGGGGCGGGGGGGGUGGGGGGCGGGCGGGGGGGCGGUGAGAGGGUGCGCUGACGGGUGGCGAGUGGCGGACGGGUGAGGAAGACAUCGGAAUCUACUUUUUCGGGGGGGAUAACGGAGGGACACUUACGCUAAUACCGCAUACGACCUACGGGUGAAAGCAGUGGAUCUUCGGACCUUGCGCGAUUGAAUGAGCCGAUGUCGGAUUAGCUAGUUGGCGGGGUAAAGGCCCACCAAGGCGACGAUCCGUAGCUGGUCUGAGAGGAUGAUCAGCCACACUGGAACUGAGACACGGUCCAGACUCCUACGGGAGGCAGCAGUGGGGAAUAUUGGACAAUGGGCGCAAGCCUGAUCCAGCCAUACCGCGUGGGUGAAGAAGGCCUUCGGGUUGUAAAGCCCUUUUGUUGGGAAAGAAAAGCAGCAGGUUAAUACCCCGCUGUUCUGACGGUACCCAAAGAAUAAGCACCGGCUAACUUCGUG
rnacentral:rRNA from 1 species